rnacentral:miRNA from 1 species
AUCGCAGUUUUAGAAUCCAUGC